rnacentral:snoRNA from 1 species
UUUUAUGAUGACACGAACACAUUUUGUUUUAUUUUGGCACCUCUUAUGUUAGGCCUCCUUCGGGUGGUCAAUGAAUGGACCGGACUUCUGAUC